UACGUAGGGGGCAAGCGUUGUCCGGAUUUACUGGGCGUAAAGAGCGUGUAGGCGGCCACGCAGGUCCGUUGUGAAAACUGGAGGCUCAACCUCCAGCUGUCGACGGAAACCGUGUGGCUAGAGUCCGGAAGAGGAGAGUGGAAUUCCUGGUGUAGCGGUGAAAUGCGCAGAUAUCAGGAGGAACACCGGUGGCGAAGGCGGGUCUCUGGGCCGUAACUGACGCUGAGGAGCGAAAGCGUGGGGAGCGAACAGG
rnacentral:rRNA from 1 species